AACGAACGCUGGCGGCAUGCCUAACACAUGCAAGUCGAACGAGGCCUUCGGGUCUCGUGGCGCACGGGUGCGUAACGCGUGGGAACCUGCCCUUAGGUUCGGAAUAACUCCCCGAAAGGGGUGCUAAUACCGGAUAAUGUCUUCGGACCAAAGAUUUAUCGCCUUUGGAUUGGCGCGCGUUGGAUUAGCUUGUUGGUAGGGUAAAAGGCUACCAAGGCGACGAUCCAUAGCUGGUCUGAGUGGAUGAGUAGCCACACUGGGACUGAGACACGGCCCGGACUUCUACGGGAGGCAGCAGUGGGGAAUGUUGGACAAUGGGCGAAAGCCUGAUCCAGCAAUGCCGCGUAAGUGAUGAAGGCCUUAGGGUGGUAAAGCUCUUUUACCCGGGAUGAUAAUGACAGUACCGGGAGAAUAAGCGCCGGCUAACUCCGUG
rnacentral:rRNA from 1 species